AGUUGUCAGCAGGCAUAAAACCAUAACCAGUAAAAGAUGAAGAAUAAUGAUAUAAUAGCUCCAGUUGUCUUCUCUCCUAUACAACCUAAUGAUUAUCACUAGUGUUGGGAAAUGAAUUUUCAGAAUUUAUGAUUCUCCAGGAAAAGAGGUGGGUUUUCAGAUGCUCCAAGGAAAGUUUUAAAAUCAUCUAUAUGUACAAUUGUUUCUGGGAUAUCUCCUUUAUUCCAUGUAAAUCAGUCUAUUUAGUCACAGUAAACUACUGAUUUUUAACAGGAUAGAGCUUUCAGCAGCAGUCCAGGAUCUCUGGGUUUUUCACACUCUGGAUGGACUUCCAGGGUGACUGGAGUUCAAGUCCUUUGCAUCUUAGAGACACCUCUUCUGUGAGCAGAUCUCGUUUUAAUGUACGGUUCAAAUGUAGGCCUGGAGCAAAUAAGCACACAUCUAAAAAAGGUGGCUCUGACUGUUCUCAGGCACCCCAAAUGUGGUCCUAGGCCAGGGAAGGGAAGAGCAGCAUCUCUCAGCAGUCUAGGUGGGCUCUACAGCUGAGCCACUGCUUCACGUGGAGUUGUGGCCGCUGGAAAUUCAGAGAACCAAGCCUUUUCUGAGUGUGUGUUUUAAAUGUGUGGAGAGGAGAAAGCUACCCAGCUGUUCAAUUACAAACUUACUGCUGGUCAGAAAACCAAAUAUCUAUUCUCUCGGGUAGCUACAUUGUAUUCCAAUGUUUGAAGAUUUGGUUUCUGUUAUAAUUGGACUGAAAUAUUGGUAUUUUUUUUAGAGGAAUUCUCCUAUGCCUCCAUCUGAAUACUAGUUGAACAUGCUCAUGUAUGUAUACGCUGUGUUUAAUAUAGACGUAAUAUAAAUGUGAAAACAAAAUUAAUUGCAUGUAUGGAAGCAAAAAAAAAUCAUGCAGAAAAGAUCAAGGAAUGAUUUGUUAAGAGCAAAACAAAAAAGUCAUAGCGUUAGUAUUAAUUAAAUUUUCUUGUUUGCUUUUUACACAUCUGUGCAUAUGUGCUUUAGAAGGACAAAUAAGCUUUGAGGAGAAAACCACUUGUAGACUGACUAGUAGCCAAAAUGCAGCUGAACUUCCCUCUUGCAAGUCGCCAAAUGUUGCUGUAGAUGCCCUCGGUGAGGGGAAUCCUGCGGGGCCGUGCGUGGGUGAGGGCGCUGAGCUCGGCGCUGCCAGCUGCAGGGUGGGGUGCCUUGGGCAGCACCCCAGCCUCUCCCUGAGCUUGCAGAGAGGGGCUGGCUUCAGUUCUCCUCUCACACGUGUAACCAGAGACAGGCGGGUCACCUGUUUGUUACCUCAGAGAAGAAACUGCAGCUGCAGUGACAGGCGUGCACUUGUCUCAUUUUGGUUGUUCUCCUGCAGUGGAAAUGAUGGAUUUUGUUUUUCAUCCCUUCACACAGAAUGAUCUGCUAUUUCGAGCAAAUUAAUGCGAUAACUUGCUACUUACAAAGUAGGUCAGGGCUGCUUGAGCGUAAAUUGCAGGGGUUUUUGGGAGUUGGUGCUGCUGUCCCCGGCAGGCUGUGGCAGCUCCUGUCCCGGGGCACCUGAGCCUCCGCACGGCCCUCAGAGCAAACGGCGUCUGCUGCUGUUUCCAUGGCAACACACCUGUCAGAAAAUAAAUAUUUGCUCCGCUUCCACAAUCCGUCAUUAUGCUAAGAAUUAAUUGAUGGUAAUGGUUUUCCCCCUCGUGCUUGAGAGCAUUUCAGAGAUAACCUAGUAGUGUGUACGGGAACCAAACAGCAUCUGAGGCCAUUGCAGCUGGCUGUGCCCUGCCAUGGGUUUGGGCUGGGAGCAGGAGCUGAUAAAACCUCUCUGGUUUUGGUUAAAAGGCAGGUCAGAUCCUGUCCUGCUCUGGAGAGCAGCUGUGCUGAUGGGUCUGGGAGCAGUGAGCAGUAUGGCUGUGGGAUGGGAUGGGCAGGACAGAAAGGGGCUGUGGGAUGGACACAGCUUCAGGUGGUCCUUUGCUGGCAUCCUCUGCCCAGCAUCCCUGUCUCUAGUGUCCUCCAAACUCUUCCUGCCCUCCCAGUGACCCAUGUCAGUCCUUAGAAGUUAAAUCCCAAGCAUGGGGAUGCACUGCGGUAGUCCUGUAACUAUGAAUACAGUACUCUUGGCUAUAUGUAUGCAGUUUUAGGCCAUUGUGAAGCAGAUAAUAAUGGAUAAUUGUGUAAGAUACUAUUUCUUAAUAGUACCUGCUCAUUUCAGUCCUUAAGGCUAUAAAUUCUGACUUUUAAAAAAUCAGUUACUUCCAGAACUUUUGCAAUUCAACCAGUGUUACAAACAUUUGGAUUUAUAAAUAUUUUUGGAAUGUAUUUAUUUAGUUUGUGUAAUAGAGGAAAAUUUACUUGUAGGCUUCUUGCUACUGGUUUUUCGUGUGAAUAAAGACUUGUAGAAGGCAGGCCAUAAGUUCUGCCAUGGCAGCAUUAACAGCUGUGGGAACUGCUGUCACACAGCAUAUUAUUAGCUCAGUUGUAUUGUCUUGAUCUGUUCUAUUAGCAGGACACACUGAUUUUGCCCAAAACCCAAAAUGUGGUUUUCUUCUGCUCUGUUUGGAUUGUGUUAUGCUGUGCCCACCAGUAUGACAUCCGUGUGCCAUAAACACCAUGACUAGCAGCUGUUGUUUGUCAUGAUAAGUGAAACUGAUGUAUGUCACCUAUGUAAACCAGGGACCAAGCAGAAUUUACAGGACAGGAGAUUUUGACAGAGCAGUUAUUAUUGCACCCCAUCCAAAGCAGGGAUUACUGAAGUUUUUUGAGUCCUUGUUUUAGACAUGGUUCAUUUUCAGCACUAUGAAAAUUUCUUGUCUGUUAAUUCAGAGUGACACAGUGCAAGAGCAGCUCUAGAACAAAACUUCAAGCCUAGGGGACCAGGAAUAGUUGAAUUGACUCUUGCUGCUGCAUAGGCAGUGGUAUUUUGUCUUUAGUUUAAGGGAAGGAAAACAAGGAGAAAGAAUUAGUGACAGUAGAAAAUUAGGCUCAUUUUAAAGAACUUGUGCUUUACACUCCAUAUGUGUUUACAUUAAAUAGGUGAUUUAUGUGAAGAUCAAAGUAAAAUGUUUCUUUCUCCCUUCCUCCUCUUUUUUUUUUUUAAUAACUGGGAAGCAUAUUUAAUGCUAAGGAGUAACUGAGGAGUUCUUACUGCAGGAAGCAUGGAAACACUGUAGAUCUUGUAAAAGACAGGAAUUUGGCAGGAGAAUAGCUCUCUGUCUUUGGUAAUCCCACUGUACAUACUGUGCAAACACUUUCUGAAGAUGGUCUGAGGCAUUCUUGUAAUUUGAUGUACACAAUGAACUGAAUGAACACCUACCAGCUGAAGAAGGUAAAUGAAAAGGGCACAGAUCUGUUUGAUAAUUAUUAAUUUGCUUAAUGUCUGUUCUACCUUUAAAUUUGUUCAUGAAGAAAUUUUCAAUUACAUUGGUAUUGCUGCAAGGAGUAGGUUUAGAGCAGUAUUUGAAUUGAUGACCUGCCUAUCAUGCAUCUUUUGCUCGUUUUUGCAUAUCAUGUUUUAUAUAGGCUGAGCUGUAACUCCUUUAACAGCUGUGCUUGAUCUGGGAGGCCUUUUGGGAUAAGGUUAGAACAAGCCUGAAGAGUGCUGUACAAUUGGACUGAUAGAUCAAUAUGUUGAUAUCAUGUAGCGAGAUGACAGUGUUAAUCUUGCUAGAACCCAAAUGUGGCUUUUUUAACACCUAAUGGCUCUAUCAACUGAACAGAGGAGGUUUUCAUUUAAUAAAUAGUGUGCCAUUUGUAUUGUUAGUCUAAUCAUUAGAGAAAAACAAUGCCACAUACCUAAGCUAGUAGUCAUUGAUGAAUAUUGACUUCAAUAUUGAUGUAGUUGGAGGCUGGAGGGUUUUGUGGCCUUUUUUAAUAUUUGUGUUUAAAUUUGACAAAUUGUGAAGAAAGGAAUGGUUGUAUCUUUUGAAGAUUUAUGAGCAUGAAGUCAAACAUGAGUAUCAAUAAAGAGUGAUGACUGCCAGAUGGGCAACAGAAUAGUGAUAGGAGCUGAAGGGCUGUACAAUUUACUUUGCAAAAUGAAGUGGACAUAAGGGGAGUAAUGAAUUCUUGUGAUAAAGUGUUUGAGUUUUGAGACCACAUUUGAAAUCUGUCCUGUAAAUAUGCUCCUUCCAAAAAGUCUUUGAAAAAUGGCUAAUGUUAUAUUCCAAGACCAGUUACAGAAAGAACACUCUUCAUUCUUUACAUGUAUCUGUGCUGGGGUUUUUUUGUUAAUGUAAGAUGACCUACAGAGGCAAAUUUUGGAGACUAAAGGGAGCUUUGCUAUUGCCUCAAAAGGGAGCAGGAUGGAUUUCUGAGCACAGCAUUUCAACUAAGCUGAGCUGGUUGGGGUUCUCAAUAAACUGCUGAGGCAAAAUGGGACUUCUGCUCUUCCAGGCCUUCUCUGUGCCAAGGACUGACCCAGCAGCAACUUUCAAUAUUCAUGGACGCAAAAAAUUCUGCAAAUGAUAACAUGCAACUGAGAGGCUGUGAGCCUUGAAUGAGGCAAUUCUGCAGCAGAGCACUGGUUUUUCAGGAAUCCUCUCUGCUCCACCUGGGAUGCCAUGAUCUGUCAAAGCACAGCAGCAGUCCAGGGAAGGUGGAUUCACUUUUCUGUGGAAAUAGAUAAAUGGUGCCCUUACUUGCUUUUUUUCUUAACAGGGCAAAGUGUUUAAGCUGUGUAGCCCAAUUAUUUUCCCUUACUGCAAGUACACACUGGAAAAUUAAUAGAGAGUAAAGUGGCAGCUCCCAAAGAAAGGUUAGAAGAAACAAAGGAAAUCCUUAAAAGCAAACCAUUACUGAUAAUGGUAUUUGAAAUAUGCAUUAGAUUCACUUAUAAAUAAGUGUGUAAAGGAAAAACUGGGAUUUCUUUUGGAUCUACACUUUCUUUUGGUUUAUUUUCCUUUAAGCAUACAAAAUAAUAGGUAACUACUUUCAAAUGGGAGCCUCUAAACAGUGGUAGAUCAGAGAUGCCCAAGUUUACUCCAGAACAUGGAAUUUCUGUUCACUUUUGCUGAUUGAAAUUUCUGAAUGCAGGAUUUUCAGUCUUCUACUUUAAAUUUCCACUUAAAAUCAAGCUCUCUGUGCAAUAAUCUUUUUAUGCCCAGUAUUUGUGCUUGGAAGCAUUUCCUAACCUAUCACAGAUGUAGUUAAGACAAUAAUUUCAGUUUAAUGAGCCAGAGAUUCCCCCCCUCCCAAAGCAGAAGAGUAACAUCAUCAGGUUUAUAUUUUAUGAUAUGCAUAUGACUUGUUUUUAAAUUGAAAGUGCCUACUUACAAAAAUCCUGUAUCUUAUUUAGCAGUGAUUUUGUUCUAUUGUACAGUGUCAUUUUCCUCUUCCUUCUUUCUUUUGAACCCUUUCCCCCUCUUCUUUAAUUUCUUUGUUCUACAUCCUUUUAAUAUUUUGUACAGAUUUCCCUCCUCUCUGACAUUUUUAUCAUUUUGAGGCAUAAAAUAGGGCCUCUCUUCUCUGGCAGCUGUGACCCCAUCCCCUGCUGCACCAAAUUGACACUUCUGCAAGCAGCAGCUCUGCUCAGUCACUCCAAGGCUGCUGUUUCACAAGUGUUGAUUUAGUGCAGCAGGGGAUGAUGUGCCAGCUGUAAAACUCAGACAAUAAUAGUAAUAAUGGUUGGGAAAAGUCUUAUAAUAAGAGAGAAAAAUAAAAGGGUGUGGGCAGAAAAGGUAGGAAGGGUGCAGGUGGAGGGAGGAAGGGGAGCAGUGGUCCCUGUGGGGUGGCGGGGUACUGGGCUGUCCAAGGAGCAGUGGGAUGGGCAGGAGAGUGGACCAUGAGCUAAUUCUCCUCCUCCCCACUCUCUCUCCUUACAAGAAACUCCUGUGACUGAUGGUGAAGAUGUUUUGUGUUUCUGUCAAACUGGGGAGUUAUUUUGGGAUAAAGUCCUAGUGGAAGUGGGUGAAGGACUUAAAAUAUGAUGAGAGAGUGAGGAACAACUGUGCUGUAGAAUCACUUACUAUUUGCAAAUGCAACUUUCUGGAUGAAAAGAUAUUUGAUAUUUUUGUUCUUAAGGUGUAUAUUGCAUGUCUAUGGAUAUAGAGGAUGGAUGUUUUUUAUAUGUACAAAUGGUGUGUUGUUAUUUAAAGCACAUAAAUGGAGAGUUCCUUCUAAAUCAGCCCUGAUUUACCCUCAGUAAUGUUCCUAAGGAAAUAGUUUACAACUACUUUGUAUGUGAGUGUUUAAUAAGCUGUUGGCAAGACAAAAAAUUAUUGUAGGUUAUAUUUACUGACCACUUUAUUUUCAUUCUCAGCCAUAACUCAACAAUUAUUUCCAUGGCUCUGUUUGACUAUUUUUCAUUGAUCUUGGAGCAGUGAAUGAAGCACAGUAUGUGCUAAAUAUUGAUAUUGGUAAUGAUAUGCCAAUGUGUGGUAAGACAGAACAGUUUCAGAUGGACAUGCAGAACAGGUCAGUGGAGACGUGAAGGUGUUAACAUACAUGUCUACCAAAUAGUAUUGUUUGCUUAAAUCUGCUUACUCAUAGCAUUUCCCAGGUCUGUGUAGAGAGUGUGAAAUUUUCCAAAGACUCUUGAGAAGCCUGUUUCUUUUAAGUUCAAUUCAGACAUGGGUUUGUGUUUCUUUAAAUUAAUGGGAAAUAAGGACAUACUUAAAACUAAGCAUAUAUUUGAAGGCUGGUGGAUUGAGGUUAUGUUUGUCAGGUCUUGAGUAAUACUUCCAAUGUCUGGAAAACAUCUCCUUUUUAGUAUUUAGAGAGAUGCUUUAUAAUAGGCUUCCACAGUGAUCACCUUUGUAAUCUUGUUGUUCAUCAUAUUAAUUGAAGAAGCUCUUUUCUGAUAACCUUUGGCUGUUCAAGAUAUGUUCCUAAAGCAUCAAAGCCUGACGAAACUUAGAAAAGACAUAAUAGAUCAUCCUGUCUGCUUUUUUGCCAGUGUAGAAUUAUUUCAUUGAGAACAUUUUUUAAUGUUAUGUCAACUUUAGUUUUUAAAAUCCCAAGUGAAAGCUUCCAUAUCUCUCCUUGGGAGACUAUUUCACAGGCUGAUACAUCUUGCUGUCAGGAAGACUAUCCUGAUACUCUGCUGAGCGUAAGCUUUUUCUUUCUAUUAUUUCUAGUUGUGUCCUUUUUACUUGAUAGCUUUUACACAAGUUUAAAUAUUUAUAGGUUUUUUUUCCCUUAAAAAAAUUUCUUCAGUUUAUCAAUAUCUUUUUGAUUUUGAGAAGUCCACCUAAGACCUUCUAAACCGAGAACUACAUUUACUUUCAAACCAUUCAAGUCAGAUGCUCACCACAACAUUUUCUUAAUGUUCUCUUUCUCAGGGUCCAAAGAACACAGGAGAUUCCAACUAUGAGAAAUCUGAUAAGCAGUCCAUUUUCAUCAGUGGUUUAAGUCCCUUUGCUUUUCUAAUUGUCAAUGCACAGCUCUUCUUGCAGUUGUGAGUGAGGAUCCCCAACUGCUACUUGGUUCUAAAUUUCUCACCUCUUUCUGCUCUGCUUCACAGAAAACCUGCAUAAUGCUUUGUCUUUGUACUUCUGCAGCUUGCACAAAAUUCACUUCAUUCUUGUUAGGUGAAACUGUUGAGGUCAGAACUCAGAAUACCUCCCAGGAAACAGAAGGCAAGAGAAAGGAGGGUGAUGCUGUCCUUAAUUCGAAAUCUGAUUUGGAACUCCUGGGUAGAAUUUUAGCUCCUUUUUCAGGAGAAAUUGAAAUAUGUUAUUGCAGGGAAAUGCAGAGAACAAGUUGUCAGGGGGCUUACUUGUGUGGGCCAGUCCUGUGUUUGCAUAGUUCAGGGUUGCAGGAAGGGAUCCAGCCUGUGCCAGCUGAGGGCCCAGGCAAGCCAGUGUGUUACUGGCACUGAGAGACAGGCUCUGCUUCUCUGCACGUCCUUCUCUCUGCAAGGAAGUAGCUGCAGUCUCCUGCUGCAUGCUGGUGGGUACUGGUGCUAUACAGACCAAAAAACUGCAGGCAGUUGGAAAAAAUCACUUUCUUUUUAAUGCCAUUUUUUUUUUGUUAUUAUCAGUUAUGAGUGUUCUGGUUUGCAGGAAAGGGGAAGAAAUUGAAAUGGCUUUACACAUCUUUUGGCUGUCAUUUCUAGCUUGUUUUCUAAGGAAUGGUGUUAGUCUGUCAAACUUCUCUAAUUACUUUUGAACACAAGGAAUGUUUAUACGGCUGAGUUCAGUGGUGAUAGAGAUCCCAUCCCACAGUGGCCUUGUGUGGUAACUUUGAAAUCAAUAGGGACGCUUUGGGGUGUCCUGGCUGACAAGCAUGGUGUGAACCUCAGAGCAUCAUGACUGUGUAGCACUGGAGCAGCCUAGGAAGGUUUUGAGGAGACAAUGUGGGGAAGGAGAGCAUGGAUGGAGAGUUUGAUCACUUAGGAGUGAGUCACAAGGCAGAAAGAAUUGGUUUUCUGCUCAGAGUACUUGAGCCUUUCCUGAGGAGUUUUCAGACUGUUAGAGACUCAUUGCUUGUCUAAUUGUUCUUCCAGAAUCAAUAGUUAAACUUGCAUUGAUUUCCGCUGACUUCUCAUGCUUGGGAUUCCAGCUGUACUGUGGAACUUGCGAUCUCGGUGUUUCACAGAGGCUUACCUGCCACAGCUGUCUGACACUUCCUGAAAUACUGAGGACAGCUUCCCUGAAAAGUGUGCAGGUUGGAAACAGCACUCCAGGUGCCUUUGCAGCCUUUGGAGGUGCUACCUGCCAGGCUGCUGUUUGUCCACCCAUUUUACAGAGAUAGCCUGUCCCUGGUGGGCUUAUUCCCACAUAUUCCCAGGUCUGCAUCUCAGAAUGGCCACUUGCUGCUAUCUCCUCCUUCUGACUAUUCCAAGGAAUUUUUACUGAAAAUUUUUAUUUUAGCUGAAUUUUGACUAAGAUGAUUUUCCAAAGAAAAUUUUCUAUUUUAUUCCUUUUUAUGUGUCUGAUGUCUAGGUGCUGCUAUGUAUAUUUUCUUCUUUACUUGCAGUAUUUUCUAAAUUCACAUCUUCUUCAGCUCUUGACAACAAGAUCUACUGCCUAACACAUGUUAGUGCCUAUAUUUCUAUAUUUAAUUGCAAGAGAUUACUCUCAAAUGUAUUUCUGAAACAGGUAUGAAGAACAAUGUUUGCUAGUAAGUUUCCCAUAACUUCUCUUCAUUGAGAAAAGAGUAAAAAAAGAGUAAUGAUAUUGCACUUCUGCUGACUACUCUGCCUGACUGAUUCACAGGGUAUUUGCUCUUAACAUGUUGUAGGAGUUAAAAAAAAUGUGUCAAACUUUUUUUGGCACCCAGCUCCAGUAGAUCCUGUUAGAAGAAACAUAUGGCCUCACACUAACAGUGUUAAAGCACUGCUGAAGUAUUGCAUGCACGACAUUGACAAAUUUCCUCUAGGCAUUUUGUUUUCUGUGCUAUUAAGCAUUCAAAGUCCACUAUUUCAUUACCACUGAUGAUACAGAGAGCCUUAUUGACAUUCUAUCCAUCUGUUCAUAACAUGCAUUAUUAAAUGUGAAGCAACUAGUAGGUAAGAGUGUACUUGCCAGCUGUACAAUGAAUUCUCAGUAGUUUGGUGCCCUCUAUAAAUUUUCUAGUAUUCUGCCAGUUUCUCAGCAUAAUUUGCAAUGGGAAUAUUUUUUAAUGUUUUACAUUGUACAGAGAAAAGUUGCUUCAAAAGAAUAUUUUUUUUUAUCCCUAAUGUGAAAUAUUUAGAUAUAGUUUCAAAAAGCCCAAGAGUCUUUUAAUAUACAAAUACUGUUGCUAGUAUCAGAUCUCACUAACCACAGUUUCUGUGUUUUUCUUUUUUUGGUUUUUUUCCCUAGGAGCAAAUCUGCUGCAUUACCUAUGAACAGGACAAUGGGGACCCAAUGAGUCACCCUAUUCAUAUAUUUUUGGAACCCAGAGGAAUUGGUUUGACUAUUUACAGAUUAUAACAGUUGGUAGUUGAAUGUUUUAUUUUCAUUCCCAGUUGGUACAAUAUGUUCACAGCUGAUGCUAAUGGCUUGCCCAUUUGAUAUCACAUAUGGUCCACUAUUUGGGUCUCCUAAAGCUUUCUUUUGUGGUCAAGCUGCUUUCAAAUUUGUGUAUGUUUAGGUUUGUUCUGUCUGCUGGAAAGGUGAAUAUGAAACUCUGAAACUGGGCAGCUUUAUAGUAACUCAGCAGUUCUGCUGAUAAAGUUUCAAAGAAUUUGAGACUAAAUGUUCCAUAAAGAAUAUUUUUAUAUAAAAUGGAAUAAAAACAAAUGUCUUACAACAUCAGGUGAAAUUCUGAAAGAAAUAUCCUUUCCUCUUUCUUUGUAUUUGAUGCUGUGAUUGAGUUACCCUCCAGUGUAUGGAUACCACUGAGCAUCAUCAGGAUUGCUUUUUCUGGGUGUUCAGUUGUUUUGGAAACCAAUUUAUACAUAAUUUGUAUUGCUUGAAUCAUGAUUUCUAUUUUUAUUUGAAUAUUUCUGUUACGAUAGUGUUUUGUGAAAAGAUGUAAGGAUGCAAAUUAAUUUUUCCUUUUGUUUCUAGAAUAAGAGCAUAGGAAAAGUGAAAUAAAAGAAUAUGGGUACAGAAAUUAAAAUUGCAAGCCAGUCUGAAAUUGUUCUCCUAUGAUACAAAGUGUUUAUACUGACUCUGAAACAUAACUGAUAAAGCCACAAUCUCAUAAAAAGAUUAUUUCCAAAACCAUUGCAUUACCCUCUGAGAGCUAAAAUUCUCAUUUAUUUGUAGGAGUAGAUCAUAAUAGCUCAAAUUCCCUGAGAAGUGGGCCUUGUGUGAUAAUUAAGCAGGGUAGUACAUUAAUUGUCCUCCACUUCACCUCUAGAUGUUUAACUCCUUAUCUAGUCAACCAGCAAACAAUAAUGCUCACUUAUUUGUGCCUUAUGGUUCAAAUAAUUUUUUUAGCCUAGGUAAUUUAUUUGAAAUAAAGCAGAGUAAGCACAUUGAUGUGAAAGGGACAUUGAAAUUAUGUCAGAUUACCAUUACUUAAUACAAUUAGGUGCUUGGAUGCGGGUUUUAUGGUUGUAUUUUUUAGCCAUGCAACUUUAGCUGAGUAAGAGCAAUGCGAUUUUUGCAUGUAGGAAUAUUUCUCUAACUAAUGGGACAGAUUUAACAGUUUUUGCCACAUGGUUUCUGCUUUCUGCUGGCCUUGCUCUCAUUGAUGCCUGUUAGGAGAGCAGGUACAUGUGUAUUGGAAGUGUCACCUGUGCCUGGGACAUCUGGCUCCUGGUGCUGGAUUAAAUCAGGAAUCUGGUGGUAGGACAGAGUCUCUGGCUUGUUCAGUUUUGGGGGAAAUAGUGCAUUUUCUGGUUUAGAGUCAGCCCCUGGAAGGAGAUGGAAAUGGAACUGAAGUAGGAGGCUCUUUCAAGUUAAUCAAGUCAAUAUUCAACCUGGAGUACUAAGGAAAGAAAAACCCAACUAAACCCAAUGUUUUUGCAAAUGAAACUAAUAGAUGAGAAAUAAUAUUCUGCCCUCUACUAUAAGCAGUUUCAGGGACUUAGAAAAUGACAGAAAACUUUAGCAUGCUAAGAAGUUCACUUGAAAUGUCUUUAAAAAAAGGACUAAGGGAAUCAAAUUAUUAAUGAGUGAUCUCAGGAAUGGACUGGGUGCCUGAUGAUGUAGUAAAAAGUAUUUCUUAGACAGGACUUGGUCAAAAUUUGGUGAAAUUUUUGGUACUCUGUACCCAAGAGAGUUAAAGAAGUUAGUGAUGUUGUCUCUCCCAACUUAUUAGAUAGAAAUGGAAGAUUGUGCAAGAAGAAUUUGGAUUUAUUGGAUGCAAAAUUAAGUUAUAUUCAGGAAAGAAUCUAUUUCUCAUAAGUAGCACCAAGGGUUAGGAAGUAGAAACAAUAUUGUUGAAAAUUAUUUUUGGGGUCUUAUAACUAAAUCCCAAGUCCAAAAGGCACCAGGAGCAGUAACUUGCUUGACUGUGGGUAUUUGUCAAAACAAGAGUGUAGCAAUGCAGAAGUGGUCAUAGCCUGGGUAUCCUGUGACACAGGAUAUCAUACAGCACAUUCCAAGGAGUCCAUACCCAUCAGGUUUGGGGUGGCUCAGCCUGCCCUGAGCACACUGUGCUGGCCUGGGCACGGUGCUGCAGCUCUGUCAGCAGCGCUGGUUCACAGCUGAGCAUGGCAGAGAGCAGGGACUGCAGAGACAGCCCUGCUGUUCACUGUGUGCUUUGUGCCCUCUCUAACACCCUGCCACCAUCUCCAGAGGCUGUCACAGCAUGUCCCUGUGUGCUGGACAUCGUGUCCUUCCCUCUGCUGUGUUGACUCUGGCCUCACUGUGGCCUCAGGCAUUUGCCGCAGGACUCAUGUAAAGAUGGGUUUUGCAGUGCAUCAUCCAUGCCAAGGGGAUUCUGUUGGAAAGAAGUGUUACACUGAUUCUAAUCUCUGACUAAAAAGAUAAUUUCUGAUUGGUACAUGGAGAAUUAUGUACAUCCUGGGGGAUUCUUAAAAUUUGUUAAUAAUUUAUUAUAGUUAUUAUUAUUAUUGUCAUCAUUAUCAUAGUUAUUGUUAUUAUAUCAUCCAAAAUGUGUGAGUGCUCUGGCAGAAGCCUCUGUUCGCGCUGGCCCGUGCAGCUGGGCUGAGUGGCAGUGUUGGGCACUGCCCUGCCCUCGGGGGCUGCUGCCCAGCACACACUGACAGCCUGUGCUGCUGUGCCUCCUCAGCUGGAGGCUGGCACCCACCCCAGGCCAAUGGUGAAGCUGUAGUCAGACCCUUCAAAGAGCCACCAGAAUACACACCUCACUCUCUGCCCAACAAAUUCUUUUCUUCCCAAAGCAAUGAGAUCUUUGUAGCUCUCCACUAAAUAUACUUUCUUCUUGUUUUGACAGAGGAAGAGCCUGAGGCUGGAGCUUGCCGAGAACACCAUGUGGAAAUGGUUUGCUCAGCUGCCAUUGCUCAGCAGGGAAAGUGAGGGAUGGGAUGGACUUGAUGAAGGCAGCUUCAUCUUGAAAAACAGUUGAUUAGAAAAAUACCAUCAAAUUGUAAUUUAUCAGCUCUAGAUAUGUUUUAGGGAGUCCUCUCUCAUGAAUGGGAUUAAAUUACAUAUAGUGUUAACCCAGAGUCUUCUGCAACAAUGUAAAUGAGUUGUUAACAUGGUACUUCAUUGCAAUAAUAACUCAAAGCUACUAGCAGGCUUGAUGGGUCUGCAAUAAAUGUUUUAUUAUUUAGGAAAAAUAUACUCUACAAGUUGCAGUGUGCCAUGCUCAUUCAUGCUGUAAAUCAACAAAGAUCAGCAGACUGAAUAGGGGAAAUGAAAAGCUUAUUUAGGAACUGACACAAGCUUUCAGAUGAGCAGGAAUGGCUGAAGUUAACUGCAUUCAUUUUUCUUUACUUGUCACAGUUGCCACUUGAAUUUCACUGCUAAAGAUUGUGGGUAGUUUUGCUUUAUGAAAUUAUAUCUAUGAAAACAAUAUUUGCAUUUAUAUAGACUUAGUUAUAAUAAAGUUAAACCUAGCACACCCCUUUGCCUCCACAAACAAACAAAUCAACCAGCCAACCAAAAACCUCUAUGUUAAAAUAAUAUUUAUCUGUCACUUUUUCUGGAUCUGAACAGGAUUCAGCUAAAUGGCUCCCACUGGCUGCUUUAAAGACCCAAAGCCUGUGACCAUGUGAAAUGUAGGAAUGCACAGUUUUGGCCAUCCCUUCAACCUCAGCUCCCCUGUAAGGCUGCCUCUCUCCUCACCAGGGUAAACCAAGGGUUUUCUUUAAAAUGAUCUUGAUGUGGGAUGAGUUAAAGCACAGAGUGGUGACAGGGGCCAGAGACUAGGAAUUAAUAUGGUCCUCCUCGUAUGGUUAUAAAGUGCCUGAGAUCAGCUCCAUUGCCAUCCUUUCAUGUUCCCUAGCACCUGAAGACCCUUUCUUGAAUUUUGCAGAAAAUGCAGAUCCUGAAUGCUGAGCACUGGCUUUCCUGAAAACAGUACAUGUUUGAACAUGGAGUAAAACCCCUUGCAAACUCUCUACUUACUCUAUUUAAUUGAUAUCCUUAGAGAGAUGUGACUUCUUUGGCUGAUCCAGAGGAAAGAGAAACCAGGACAAGAAGGCAAGUGCUUGUGUCUGCCACUGAAUGGAUGCUUUCCUUGGUUGUGGAGUUACUUACUCAGCUACAAGACUCACUGCCUAUCUCAAAUACCCAUUCUCAGUAGGCCAAAGAUAAAAGGAUUCGAUACUUUGGAGGAACUUUGCUUCACGUGGUUGUAAAAUCAGCAGAGGUGCUGGAAACACCUCUCAUUUUGUGUGGAGAGGUUCAGUCCUAUACCUGAUGGGGAGGAGAAAGCAUUGACUAGACAUUUUUCCAGUCCUUGAAGCAGUUUUCUUUGAGAGAAUGACAUUUUUCAUGCCAGACAGUUGGCAUCAGCUGUCAAGUUGGGUGAACUGGACAAGACAGAGAUGGAGACAUGCAAUGCUAUAUGGUGUCAUCAGAACUAAAGAUUAUGAAAUUCUUCUGCACAGAUUUCACCCCUGAAGUGAACAGAACACACCAGGGAUUUCCCAUGGCGAUGAGAGUCCCUGUUCCAGUUCAACUGAUUCAACUGGCCAUGUUGCCUUUUAUCCAGGUUCCUGUUUUCAUCACAUGGCAGGAGAUGCAGAAAGCACUAGGAAAACUACACCGCCAGAGGGCAGCAUCCACAGUAGAACGUGGGAGGUGGUGCUUAUCACCUGCCAGGGAAAAUGUUGCCUUCUGAGGAGGAAAUGCUUCUUGUCACUAAAAGCUGAUGAGGAAGGAUGAUUUAAGGCACUGGGGAAACCUUGUCCUCAUUCCUAGCUGCAUUGUGAAUGCUUGGCUUUCAGCUCAUGCUGGUCCCACUGAACAGCAGGGUGAAACACAGUUUGCCAUUAUGUGGAGGAGGCACAGUCCAUGUUCUGCAACUGCUGUGAGAGACCUUCUCCCAUGCUGGAAGCUCCCUCUCAGACACUUGUCCUGGUCCAGCCUGCUCCCAUCUCCAUGAGACUGUUCCUGCUCUUGCCUAGCCCCAGUCCUUGGUGGGGUCUGUCAGCCCUGCAUCUUUCACCCUUCCAGGCAGGUGGACAGGGCCCAGGGGAUGCAGCUGCAGGGCCAUGACCAGCUCUGCCCACCCUGCUGGGGAGUGACCAGAGAAACUCCUGAUCUCUGUCAUCUUCUCCUAGUGCUCCCUGGAGAAUAGAUGGUCAAAAAGUGAACUGUUUUUCUGGUAGCAUAUCACAUCCAAUUCUUGAGUCUGUGCACUGCCUACACAACCAUUGCUGUUGCUUCAAACAAGCAGUCCUAAAUGAGGAAAAAUAGAAGAGGAAAAAAAGAGUGUUUACAGGGGACAUUUUGCAGCUAGAAGGAAGCUGAGUGCAAGGCCCUGCCUAUGAAUGGGGAUGACUUCUGCUUCUUAAAAGGACUAUCACUUGCAACCUCUGCUCCCUCCAGCUAUAGACAAAGGCUACCUUUGACCUCCCCAGCUUGUUCAGCACCACCUGCUACCCAGGCACACCUGGAUCCACUGCUGAGUUUCCUAGGUGUUGGACAAUGCUGGAACCAAGAACCUCCGAGCACGUUUCAUCCUCUGGUUUCCCUGAAACUUUCAGUUACACCCUGAAGUUACUGGAAUCCAUGUUCUGUUCAAGUAACCACAUAUAAACUUAUCAUGGAGAUCAGCUGAGACCUCAUGGCAGAAAUCUCGUUUGAAACAACUCGAAAUUACUUCACCUUGGCUCAAGCCACAUCACAGCAGAUACUUUCUCCUCCUUCUCCAGCCCUGCUCUCUGGCCUAGUCCACCUUUAAUGAAGCAGCAAGUGUGUGGUGACUUAUGUUCAGAUCUGUCUUUGUGCCUUAGCUUGCAAAAGCCUUCAGAAUGGAUCCACAGAUUCCUGAGCAUUCAUGGACCUCAGACUGGAGCUACCGCAUAAAAUCAGGGUGUUAUAGGACUUGAAGAAUCAUGACCGAAGGCUCUAUCCAGUCUCCUUUUUUGAUCUGCAAGAGGAUAAGGAAUUUUUUCCUCUUCCUUUGCUGAAUGAAAAGACCUCAACACAGCCUACAUCUGGGGACACCUGCUGAGAGAAUAAAACACAAUAAACAUGAGCAUGCUAUGGCAGGCAAAAAGUACUAAUGAAAAUCGGGAAUGUGUAAUAGCUCAAAACCAAUUAAAGAAAAUUACCUCUCCUUUUAAUUCUGCUUACAAGCCUUUUCUGCAAUAUUGAUUAUUUUCCAGAGAGUCUGUCACUUAGGAAUAUCUUCCAAGUGAUGAUGCUAGUUUCUGGAUAAGAGCUUAAGCGAUGUUUCCUUUAAAGAGAUACACCCUGAAAUGAGGGAUGCCUCCAUGCCUUCCAGCCAGGAGACCAAGCAGAGCACGGGGAAACUUCCUGCUGAGACUUCACUUAGACCAACUGAUAUCUUCUCCCUGCCUGGAGAAAACCUUUGUUCUCGACACUGAAGACAGGCACUUAAAACUUGUGUGGGUGCAGCACAGGAUUCAGCCCCUGGGGCUGUGUUAGCACAGAGAGCAGCCAUGGCUCUGUGCUUCUUCGGCUUUGGAGGGGCUCAGGAGUAACGAGCAAAAUCUAAUUAAGAAGAGUGAAAUACAGUAGGAGGCAUUUUGCACCUAUACCAAAGAACUUUGGAGCAAGGAAGUCUUUACAACCUCCCAGAAAACCUGUCCAGGAGCUCCUGAAGAUGCCUGGAAGAAUUUGCUGCAUUUCUGGCCCCAGAGGCUGUUAUGGAGAUAACCAGUUGGCUACACAAGAGGUUGCUGAAAUCCAGCGUUUGUUUCCAGAUAUACAUUCAUGCUUUUUAAGGAAAUGAUUGUAAGGAGCUGGAGAACCGUUGAAAUGAUGUUGCUCAAAGAUUUCCCAGCAUUGGCACAAGCUAAGCAAAUAAGGAAAAUACUGCUAUAAUCACUGCAGAGAUGGAGAGUUCUGCUUAGCUCCCAUCUUUGUAUUCAAAACUGGAAAAAUUACAAGUGCUCAAAGUUUAUCCUGUCCAGCGUGCAGUGUGCUGAAGUGGCAUUAUCUUCACUUCACUGAUAAGAAGAUUUACAUCCACACAAAGCCAGACUGGAAGGUCUGGGGUAAGGGCUGGGCCCAGAGCUGCAGAUGUGGUGAUUACCAGCUGUCUGCUUGUGGGGGUAGCUUGAGUGGAUCUGUCUCACCCCAAAGUGGCCCUGAAGCUGCAUGGAGAGAAGUCAAAUCUCCCACGGCUGGAUGAAGCCAACUCCCAGCCAUCCCUCUAUGAAUAAGCCCAACACAAAUGCCUACCAGCAUUUCCCAGACUGAGCUCAGAAAUGUGGUCCCCGACACAGAGCUACCAUAUUGAAGGUGUUGAAGUGCAAGCUGUGUAUGCCUGAGACCAUCAUAUUUCUUACUAAGAAAUGAAUUAUUCGACCACUGGUACAAGUGGCUCAGAGAAGACCAUUUAUUAUGCUGCAUCUUCAGCUAGUGUUUCUUCAGCAAGUAAUCUUUGACCUGGAAAGCUGUUUCACUGAAAAUGACUAAUUUUGCCAAUUUUACUUUUUGCUUUGAAUAUGUUUUUCUGGUGGCAGUUUAAUCUAUCCUAAAAGACUUAUUUUAUACUUUACAAUAUUGGUAAAACAUAAAUAGAAAAUAGACAAAGGAAAACCUUCAUGAAGUAAAACUUCAAUUCCAUUUAUGGAGACCCUACCCCAGAACUCUGAAUUUGGAAGUGCAAAGGGAUGUAUUGGUAUGCAGAAAGUUAAAAAAAUCCAAACAAACAAACAAACA